GGGGACGGAGAAGGCUAUGUUGGCCGGGCGACGGUUGUCCCGGUUUAAGCGUGUAGGUGUGUGUUCCAGGUAAAUCCGGUUCACUUUAACACUGAGGCGUGAUGACGAGGCACUACGGUGCUGAAGCAACAAAUGCCCUGCUUCCAGGAAAAGCCUCUAAGCAUCAGGUAACAUCAAAUCGUACCCCAAACCGACACAGGUGGUCAGGUAGAGAAUACCAAG
rnacentral:rRNA from 1 species